rnacentral:rRNA from 1 species
GAUGAACGCUGGCGGCGUGCCUAAUACAUGCAAGUCGAGCGAACAGACGAGGAGCUUGCUCCUCUGACGUUAGCGGCGGACGGGUGAGUAACACGUGGAUAACCUACCUAUAAGACUGGGAUAACUUCGGGAAACCGGAGCUAAUACCGGAUAAUAUAUUGAACCGCAUGGUUCAAUAGUGAAAGACGGUUUUGCUGUCACUUAUAGAUGGAUCCGCGCCGCAUUAGCUAGUUGGUAAGGUAACGGCUUACCAAGGCAACGAUGCGUAGCCGACCUGAGAGGGUGGACGGCCACACUGGAAGUGAGACUCGGUCCAGACUCCUACGGGGGGCAGCAGUAGGGAAUCUUCCGCAAUGGGGGAAAGGCUGACAGAGCAACGCCGCGUGAGUGAUGAAGGUGUUCGGAUCGUAAAAUUCUGUUAUUAGGGAAGAACAAAUGUGUAAGUAACUAUGCACGUCUUGACGGUACCUAAUCAGAAAGCCACGGCUAACUACGUG